rnacentral:rRNA from 1 species
UACGAAGGGGGGCUAGCGUUGCUCGGAAUUACUGGGCGUAAAGCGCACGUAGGCGGAUUGCUAAGUCGAGGGUGAAAUCCUGGAGCUCAACUCCAGAACUGCCUUUGAUACUGGGCGAUCUUGAGUCCGGGAGAGGUGAGUGGAACUGCGAGUGUAGAGGUGAAAUUCGUAGAUAUUCGCAAGAACACCAGUGGCGAAGGCGGCUCACUGGCCCGGUACUGACGCUGAGGUGCGAAAGCGUGGGGAGCAAACAGG